rnacentral:rRNA from 1 species
AUUGAACGCUAGCGGGAUGCUUUACACAUGCAAGUCGAACGAGUGGCGGACGGGUGAGUAAUAUAUCGGAACGUGCCCAGUAGCGGGGGAUAACUACUCGAAAGAGUGGCUAAUACUGCAUACUAUUGGAGCGGCUGAUACCGGAUUAGCUAGUUGGUGGGGUAAAGGCUCAACAAGGCAACGAUCCGUAGCUGGUUUGAGAGGAGGACCAGCCACACUGGGAAUGGGGAACGGCCCAGACUCCUACGGGAGGGAGCAGUGGGGAAUGUUGGACAAUGGGGGGAACCCUGAUCCAGCCAUCCCGCGUGGAUGGGAAGGCCUUCGGGUUGGAAAGUACUUUUGGCAGAGAAGCGGGGUCUGCAGAAUAAGCACCGGCUAACUACGUGCCAGCAGCCGCGGUAAUAC